rnacentral:sRNA from 1 species
CUUGGUCAUUUAGAGGAAGUAAAAGUCGUAACAAGGUCUCCGUUGGUGAACCAGCGGAGGGAUCAUUACAGAGUUGCAAAACUCCCAACCAUUGUGAAUCUACCUCACCGUUGCUUCGGCGAGUGGCUCGGGCACAACCCGGGCCGCGCCGGCCCCGCCUCGCGGGGUCCGGCAACCCGUCAGAGGACCGAAACUCUUAGUCAUCAUUGGCCUCUCUGAGUAACUUAUACAAUAAGUCAAAACUUUCAACAACGGAUCUCUUGGUUCUGGCAUCGAUGAAGAACGCAGCGAAAUGCGAUACGUAAUGUGAAUUGCAGAUUUCAGUGAAUCAUCGAAUCUUUGAACGCACAUUGCGCCCGCCAGUAUUCUGGCGGGCAUGCCUGUUCGAGCGUCAUUUCAACCAUCAAGCGCCAGCGCUUGUGUUGGAGCCCUGCGGCUGCCGCAGGCUCCCAAACCCAGUGGCGGGCUCGUCGUCGUACCGAGUGCAGUAAACAUACCACGCUCAGGGCACGCGGCGGGUGACCGGCCGUAAAACCCCCAACUUCUCCGGGUUGACCUCGGAUCAGGUAGGAAUACCCGCUGAACUUAAGCAUAUCAAUAAGCGGAGGAAAAGAAACCAACAGGGAUUGCCUCAGUAACGGCGAGUGAAGCGGCAACAGCUCAAAUUUGAAAUCUGGCUCUUUUAGGGUCCGAGUUGUAAUUUGUAGAAGAUGUUUCGGGUGUGGCUCCGGUUUAAGUUCUUUGGAAUAUUACAUCAUAGAGGGUGAGAAUCCCGUAUGUGACCGGCAGCCUUCGCCUAUGUGAAACUCUUUCGACGAGUCGAGUUGUUUGGGAAU